rnacentral:lncRNA from 1 species
UCUUACAAAUCUCAUCGGACUUCUCCUUUUCUACUAAAAUUGAUAGAUUCCAUUUAGGUGCAUCCUACUCCAAACAGCGAACCUGAACCUACAUAGCCAACAUACACAGCAAGGAUCCAUAUGGCUAGUGACCAAGGGAACGUGUAGUCAAAUUAUGUAGUCUUGCUGUGAAUAGCCAACACACCACAGGUUAAAGGACCAGUCGCACCACUGC